UUUCCGGGUAAUGUCCCGUUAAUAUCGAUCCUUGCGGGCUUGCCGUGUACGGCUAUGUGAGUAAUCCAUAGCUGACACGUGCGGCAAUUGUGGGGCUUUAGCCCGAUCGUUCUUAUCCGUGGAGGGGAGCAAUCCAGCACACUGGGAACGGUCCGUGAGGAGGCGAACGGGAUGGCAUGUCUCCGGC